GCCCGUCUGGCGGAACGGUAGACGCGCGGCGCUCAGAACGCCGUGUCCCCAGGGCGUCCGGGUUCGAAUCCCGGGGCGGGCA
rnacentral:tRNA from 1 species